AAGUCUCGCUUUGUCAGCCAGGCUGGAGUGCAGUAUCGCGAUCUCAGUUCACGGCAACCUCCGCCUGCCAGGUUCAAGCGAUUCUCCUGCUUCAGCCUCCUUAGAAGCUGGGAUGUAAUCCCAGCCUGUAGGUGCCCGCCACCACACCGAGCUAAUUUUUGUAUUUUUAGUAGACACAGGGUUUUGCCAUGUUGGCCAGGCUGGUAUCGAACUUCUGGCCUCAACUGAUCCAGGCACCUCGGCCUCCCAAACUGCUGGGAUUACAGAUGUGAGCCACUGUGUCUGGCCCAAACUAUUUUAAUGUAAUGUAAUGUAAUGUAAUUUUCUGGAGACGGAGUCUCGCUGGGUUACCCAGGCUGGAGUGCAGUGGUGCGAUUUCGGCUCACUGCAACCUCCUCCUCUCGGGUUAAAGUGAUUCUCCUGCCUCAGCCUCCCGAGUAGCUGGGAUUAUAUAGGCGUGUGCCACCACGCCUGGCUAAUGUUUUUGUGUUUUUAGUAGAAACAGGGUUUCACCAUGUUGGCCACGCUGGCCACAUUGUUCUUUUUUUUUUUUUGAGACGGAGUCUCGCUCUGUCGCCCAGGCUGGAGUGCAGUGGUGCGAUCUCGGCUCACUGCAAGCUCCGCCUCCCAGGUUCACGCCAUUCUCCUGCCUCAGCCUCCGGAGUAGCUGGGACUACAGGCGUCCGCCACCACGCCCGGCUAAUUUUUUGUAUUUUUAGUAGAGACGGGAUUUCACCGUGUUAGUCAGGAUGGUCUCGAUAUCCUGACCUCGUGAUCCGCCCGCCUCGGCCUCCCAAAGUGCUGGGAUUACAGGCGUGAGUCACCGCGCUCGGCCUUUUUUUUUUUUUUUUUUUUUUUUAAUUGAGACGGAGUCUCGCUCUGUCGCCCAGGCUGGAGUGCAGUGGUGCAAUCUCUGCUCACUGCAACCCCGCCUCCCGGGUUCCAGCGAUUCUCCUGCCUCAGCCUCCCGGGUAGCUGGGAUUACAGGCGCCCGCCACCACGCCCGGCUAAUUUUUGUAUUUUUAGUAGAGACGGAGUUUCGCUAUGUUGGCCAGGCUGGUCUCGAACUCCUGGCCUGAGGUGAUCCACCCGCCUCGACCUCCCAAAAUGCUGGGAUUACAGGCGUGAGCCACCUCCCCCAGCUCCUUGCUUUCUAUUUCUACUGGGCAGUGCUGCUCAGUAACCAUGCCAGUCCCGUCCCCGCCUCUAUGCGCUGGGAUUCCGCAGCCAGAAUACUUACUUACAUCCCUGGGGCCCCAAGGGGCUCACUAAACCACGUGCCUUGUCCAGGUCGCGUUUUUUUGUUUUUGUUUGUUUGGUUUUUUCCUCCUGGUCUUGUCCUUUGUAAAGCCUUAGAACAGUCGUUAAACAACCCAGCAAAUAUGCAAUUCGCGUUUUCAGUAAAUUUAUCCAAACCGCAUUCCAUUCCUUACCCUCCUGCUUCUGCGCAGACAAGCGCCCUUGAUGACGUUUGUCCCACGUCGCUCUCCGUUCGCUCCCAGGCUUCUCUGCGCGUGCGCCUCCUCACACGCCUGCAGUUCACCACCACCGUGGUCUCCUGCUGUCCCGCGGAGCUGCAGACUGAAGGGAGCAACGGCAAGAAAGAAGUGCUGAGCGGUUUCCAAGUGGUGCUGGAAGACACAGUGCUUUUCCCUGAGGGCGGGGGACAGCCUGAUGACCGUGGUACAAUCAAUGACAUCUCUGUGCUGAGAGUGACUCGCCGUGGGGAACAGGCUGAUCAUUUCACCCAGACACCCCUGGAUCCAGGAAGCCAGGUUCUGGUCCGGGUAGAUUGGGAGCGGAGGUUUGACCACAUGCAGCAGCAUUCAGGGCAGCAUCUCAUCACGGCAGUUGCUGACCAUCUAUUUAAGCUGAAGACAACAUCAUGGGAGUUAGGGAGAUUUCGGAGUGCGAUUGAGCUGGACACCCCCUCUAUGACUGCAGAGCAAGUAGCUGCCAUUGAGCAGAGCGUCAAUGAAAAAAUCAGAGAUCGGCUGCCUGUGAAUGUCCGAGAACUGAGCCUGGAUGAUCCUGAGGUGGAGCAGGUGAGUGGCCGGGGUUUGCCUGAUGAUCAUGCUGGGCCCAUUCGGGUUGUUAGCAUCGAGGGCGUUGAUUCCAACAUGUGCUGUGGGACCCAUGUGAGCAAUCUCAGUGACCUUCAGGUCAUUAAGAUUCUGGGCACUGAGAAGGGGAAAAAGAACAGAACCAACCUGAUAUUUCUGGCUGGGAACCGGGUGCUGAAGUGGAUGGAGAGAAGUCAUGGAACUGAAAAAGCACUGACUGCUCUUCUUAAUUGCCUAAGAGACCUCCUCAGAAUAUCUCCUGGUCCCUGACUGCAGGGAGGCACCAUAGCAAGAAGGAAAUUAUUGAUUUAUGUCCCCAACAUCAGAAACGACUGGGAAGCUGUGCAGGUCUCCUCUGACCUUUCUCUUUCAGGUGUGGAGCAGAGGAUCAUGUGGAAGCAGUGAAAAAGCUCCAGAACUCCACCAAGAUCCUGCAGAAGAAUAACCUGAAUCUGCUCAGAGACCUGGCUGUGCACAUUGCCCAUAGCCUCAGGAACAGUCCAGACUGGGGAGGUGUGGUCGUAUUACACAGGAGACCCUCCUGUUCUUAACCGUGGGCGAUGAGAAAGGUGCUGGACUCUUCUUACUGGCAGGGCCACCUGCGUCUGUGGAGACCCUGGGGCCCAGGGUGGCUGAGGUCCUGGAAGGCAAAGGAGCAGGGAAGAAAGGCCGUUUUCAGGGCAAGGCCACCAAGAUGAGCCGGCGGAUGGAGGCGCAGGCGCUUCUCCAGGACUACAUCAGCACGCAGAGUGCUAAGGAGUGAGGGCUUAGGGCACUCACCUCCUGUUUCCACAGGAAUCUUUUGGUCAAUAAAAUAGAUUGACUCAGAA